GCCUACGGGGGGCAGCAGUGGGGAAUAUUGGGCAAUGGGCGAAAGCCUGACCCAGCAACGCCGCGUGAGGGAAGAAGGUUUUCGGAUUGUAAACCUCUGUCGCAGAUGACGAAGAAAGUGACGGUAAUCUGUGAGGAAGCCCCGGCUAACUACGUGCCAGCAGCCGCGGUAAUACGUAGGGGGCGAGCGUUGUCCGGAAUUACUGGGCGUAAAGGGUGCGUAGGCGGUUAAUUAAGUUGGAUGUGAAAUACCCGGGCUUAACCUGGGGGGUGCAUUCAAAACUGGUUAACUAGAGUUCAGGAGAGGGAAGCGGAAUUCCUAGUGUAGCGGUGAAAUGCGUAGAUAUUAGGAGGAACACCAGUGGCGAAGGCGGCUUUCUGGACUGACACUGACGCUGAGGCACGAAAGCGUGGGGAGCAAACAGGAUUAGAUACCCGUGUAGUCCG
rnacentral:rRNA from 1 species